rnacentral:SRP_RNA from 1 species
CCGUGCUAGGUGGGGCGUUAGCGGUGCCCUGUAACCCGACACCCGCUCUAGCGGGGCUGAAUUCCCACUAGAGGAUUCGGCCCUCAGGGCCAGUACGCCGCGUGCGGCGUCGAUGGCCAGGUCCCGCGCGACGGAGUCCCGUGAACCAGGUCAGGUCCGGAAGGAAGCAGCCUUAAGCGGUCUUCCCCGUGCGCCGCGGGCAAGCCUGGCCGGAGCCAUAUCGCGGCUGACACGCCUGGGAGCCGCUUUCGAAGGUGGGUGCACGG